rnacentral:rRNA from 1 species
UACGGAGGGUGCGAGCGUUAAUCGGAAUUACUGGGCGUAAAGCGUACGCAGGCGGUUUGUUAAGCCAGAUGUGAAAGCCCCGGGCUUAACCUGGUAACUGCAUUUCGAACUGGCAAACUAGAGUGUGAUAGAGGGUGGUAGAAUUUCAGGUGUAGCGGUGAAAUGCGUAGAGAUCUGAAGGAAUACCGAUGGCGAAGGCAGCCACCUGGGUCAACACUGACGCUCAUGUACGAAAGCGUGGGGAGCAAACAGG